rnacentral:rRNA from 1 species
GACGAACGCUGGCGGCGUGCUUAACACAUGCAAGUCAAACGGAAAGGCCCCCUUGUGGGGUACUCGAGUGGCGAACGGGUGAGUAACACGUGAGUAACCUACCCUUGACUUUGGGAUAACUUCAGGAAACUGGGGCUAAUACCGGAUAGGAGCUCCUGCUGCAUGGUGGGGGUUGGAAAGUUUCGGCGGUUGGGGAUGGACUCGCGGCUUAUCAGCUUGUUGGUGGGGUAGUGGCUCACCAAGGCUUUGACGGGUAGCCGGCCUGAGAGGGUGACCGGCCACAUUGGGACUGAGAUACGGCCCAGACUCCUACGGGAGGCAGCAGUGGGGAAUAUUGCACAAUGGGCGGAAGCCUGAUGCAGCAACGCCGCGUGCGGGAUGACGGCCUUCGGGUUGUAAACCGCUUUCGCCUGUGACGAAGCGUGAGUGACGGUAAUGGGUAAAGAAGCACCGGCUAACUACGU